rnacentral:rRNA from 1 species
UACGUAGGGGGCAAGCGUUGUCCGGAUUUAUUGGGCGUAAAGCGCUCGCAGGUGGUUCGAUGCGUCGUGCGUGAAAGCCCCCGGCUCAACUGGGGAGUGUCGUGCGAUACGGUCGAACUGGAGGCCAGUAGGGGGAUGCGGAAUUCCGGGUGUAGUGGUGGAAUGCGUAGAGAUCCGGAGGAACACCAGUGGCGAAGGCGACUACCUGGCCUGUUUCUUGACGCUGAGGCGCGAAAGCUAGGGGAGCAAACGGG